rnacentral:rRNA from 1 species
CUGUACAGUCAGAGUUUGAUCCUGGCUCAGGAUGAACGCUGGCGGCGUGCUUAACACAUGCAAGUCGAGCGAGAAUCGCUCUGAUGACGCUUCGGUAGAUUCAGGGCGAGGAAAGCGGCGGACGGGUGAGUAACGCGUGGGAAACCUGCCCUUCACAGAGGGACAGCCGAGGGAAACUUCGAUUAAUACCUCAUAACGCAUCGAGGUCGCAUGGCCAUGAUGCCAAAGAUUUAUCGGUGAAGGAUGGUCCCGCGUCUGAUUAGCUAGUUGGUGAGGCAGCGGCUCACCAAGGCGACGAUCAGUAGCCGGCCUGAGAGGGUGAACGGCCACAUUGGAACUGAGACACGGUCCAG